rnacentral:tRNA from 1 species
AUUUAUCUAAUAUAAAAAGUAUACUUGACUUCCAAUCAAGAGGUUUGUGUAAACAAGAUAAAUA